AUGUAUAUAGAAAGAUUGAGAAAUUGAAAGCUGAAGCUACCAUGGAAAGGAAUGACUUUGCAUCUGUUAUAGAGGGGAUGGAAGACCAAGCAAAUGAUGAAAAGUGCUACCCAAUGCUGGUUGUUCUGGCAUAUCUUCUGCCACCGUUGCCUGGAAGUCGCUGCAGUGUUAAAUAGGAAAUUUCAUUCCUUCAAUUUCCAUUUGUACCGCCUGGAGCCAUAUUGCAUCCCUCUGCAGCAGUUUUGAGACCGCAUCAAAGACCAGACCACAGCCAAUCUACAUUGAGAGUUUGAAGAGCACAACAUGACAAUACAUCAUUGCGACGAUUGACAAAAUGACCAUUUCUGUGGAUGAGGGCCUGACGUGCUGUGGACAAGAUAUUCUAGGUGUGAAACUUCUGUCCACCACAGAUUAGUUCUGUCUUCACUUUCUAAGACUGGGACAUCUAAUAUUGAAACACCACAUUCUCUUCCUUUUAAAACUGACAUUCCUACUUACUGUGUUGCCUCUUUUGUGGCCCAAAUGUAUUCUUCAUCAAAUACAACUAGUGGAUGUAACAAGAAGUAUUACUUCACAAUUAGCACACACUUACAAUUUUACAAUAUUUACAACAUUGAUUGUCAUUGAGAACAAUUUCAAAAUAUGUGCCUGAAUGUUUGUCUGAACUAAAAUGUUUAUUUAUAUGUAUCAAAAAGUAUCUGACUUUCUUAUGAGAUUAAGUUGAUCUUAUUUUAUGAGAAAUGUUAUCCUCUGGUCUUGUUUCUGUUAACCGUAAGUGUAAUUGAUGUUGGCAACACUUUUUAAUGAAUACUGUGGUUAAUAGCUAGUGCAUUACAAAUGCUUUUGUAUUAUGAAGAAAAAUGACAAACAUACUAUAGAUUUAUAAAAUGAACUGUCAUUG